UUUCCGUUGGUGAACCAGCGGAAGGAUCAUUACUGAGAUCAUGCCCUCACGGGUAGACCUCCCACCCUGUUUAAAUACCAUUGUUGCUUUGGCAGGCCCGCCUUCGGGCACUCGGCUCCGGCUGAGCAGCGCCUGCCAGAGGACCCAACCCUAAUGUUUACGUGUCGUCUGAGUACUAUAUAAUAAGUUAAAACUUUCAACAACGGAUCUCUUGGUUCUGGCAUCGAUGAAGAACGCAGC
rnacentral:misc_RNA from 1 species